rnacentral:lncRNA from 1 species
GAUAAGAAAUCGUAUAUAAUUUCAUUUCAAACCGUAGCUAUGCUAGGCAGAUUUGCUUGCAUAACCAACUCAGAUACACCUUUUGAUUAUUAGCAAGAUUCAAGUAAAACGCAGAAGACAAGAACAUAAACAGAUUCAUAUCAAGGUCUUGACGACGAAGAAAACGAGUCUUUCCAAUAAACUGCGGCAAUGAAACGUCAAACUACAAAGAAAAUACGAAGACUCUUUUAAUGAAAACAUCGAAAACUCAAAGAAAAAACCACAAAACUUGUCUAAGAGACAGACUAGUCCCUUCUCAAUCUUCUUCAUCGAUGACCUUAGUGCCAAGUCCACUGAGUCCUUCAGCAGGGAUCUCAGCAACAGUGACAAGUGAGAAAAACUCUUCCUUGGCGUCUUCAUCGUCGUUUCUCUUACGCGCAACGAAUGAGCGUAAAAAAAGAGUUUAUUUUAUAUAUUUGUUUGCAUCAUCGCAUGUGAGUGAGUACAGAUGGCAUCAGUUGCAAGAAUCAUUUUACAAACAAACCGGAUAAUGAGAAUGCUGGAUUAUAGUUUUGAAUUGUUGAUUAGUUUUUAGUGAAUCGUGGGCCGACGUAAGCAGUAGCACAGAAUCAUCAUUAGUUGGAAACUUUUGGCUGGGCUUCAAAGAUGCUUUAGGUUUGUAUUUAAAAUGUAAAGGCGUUACUGGUCAUCACAGGUCGAUAUGUCCGAGUGGUUAAGGAGAUUGACUCGAAAUCAAUUGGGCUUUGCCCGCGCAGGUUCGAAUCCUGCUGUCGACGUUUUUGCUCUUUUUUAUAAAAACUAAAAGCGAAGUCAUAAGAAUACGUUAAUUAGUUUUAGGGCUACGUCCAUUUGUACAAUUUAGUUCACAGAUAUAAACCAUACAAGACUCGUAAGCAUUUAGCUUCUUUUUUUUAUGUUCAUAAGAAGCCGUAUAUAAUUUUCACUGCAAAUCAUUAUGGUUUGCUAUGAUGGAAAGACAGUGGCAGCUAUGGAUGUCAUCGUUCCAAAGGUAAUAAAGCUGACAUGGAACUUACUAGAGUUAAGCAUUUGUGAUGUUUAUGUUGGAUAACAUAAAACUCAUUUCACAUAUAAACUAGAUUCUUAGCAUUUAAUCUGAUAAGAAAUCGUAUAUAAUUUCAUUUCAAACCGUAGCUAUGCUAGGCAGAUUUGCUUGCAUAACCAACUCAGAUACACCUUUUGAUUAUUAGCAAGAUUCAAGUAAAACGCAGAAGACAAGAACAUAAACAGAUUCAUAUCAAGGUCUUGACGACGAAGAAAACGAGUCUUUCCAAUAAACUGCGGCAAUGAAACGUCAAACUACAAAGAAAAUACGAAGACUCUUUUAAUGAAAACAUCGAAAACUCAAAGAAAAAACCACAAAAC